CCCUAUGGGGUGCACCACCUUGUCUGGUGGUCAAAGGCAACGGCUCUCUAUCGCCCGGGCUCUGGUGAAAAAGCCACCCAUUUACAUCUUUGAUGACAGUUUUUCAGCGUUGGACUUCAAGACCGACGCAGCAUUGCGCCAAGCACUUAAGCAGAACGUUAAUGACAGCACAGUCUUGAUCGUCACCCAACGGGUGGCAACAGCCAAAACUUCCGACCAAAUCCUGGUUUUGGAUAACGGGCACAUCGUCGGGAAAGGCACCCAUCACGAAUUGAUGGAAACCUGCCAGACCUACCAGGAAAUCGCCAAAUCGCAGUUGAGUAUGGAGGAAUUGGCGGGGGAGC
rnacentral:rRNA from 1 species